AUUGAACGCUGGCGGCAGGCCUAACACAUGCAAGUCGAACGAGUGGCGGACGGGUGAGUAAUGUCUGGUACACUGCCUGAUGGAGGGGGAUAACUACUGGAAACGGUAGCUAAUACCGCAUACCCUCAGAUGUGCCCAGAUGGGAUUAGCUUGUUGGUGGGGUAACGGAUCACCCCGGCGACGAUCCCUAGCUGGUCUGAGAGGAUGACCAGCCACACGGGAACUGAGACACGGGCCAGACUCCUACGGGAGGCAGCAGUGGGGAAGAUUGCACAAUGGGCGCAAGCCUGAUGCAGCCAGGCCGCGUGUAUGAAGAAGGCCUUCGGGUUGUAAAGUACUUUCAGCGGGGAGGCGUUACCCGCAGAAGAAGCACCGGCUAACUCCGUGCCAGCAGCCGCGGUAAGAC
rnacentral:rRNA from 1 species